rnacentral:rRNA from 1 species
CAGUCGCCGCGGUAAUACAGAGGGUGCAAGCGUUAAUCGGAUUUACUGGGCGUAAAGGGCGCGUAGGUGGUUAUUUAAGUGAGAUGUGAAAGCCCCGGGCUUAACCUGGGAACUGCAUCUUAUACUGGGUAACUGGAGUGCAGUAGAGGGUAGUGGAAUUUCCGGCGUAGCGGUGAAAUGCGUAGAUAUCGGAAGGAACACCAGUGGCGAAGGCGGCUACCUGGACUGAGACUGACACUGAGGCGCGAGAGCGUGGGGAGCAAACAGGAUUAGAUACCCGGGUAGUCCCUGUCUCUUAUAC